rnacentral:rRNA from 1 species
UACGUAGGGGCCUAGCGUUGUCCGGAUUUAUUGGGCGUAAAGAGCGUGUAGGCGGUUAGGUAGGUCCGUUGUGAAAACUCGAGGCUCAACCUCGAGACGCCGAUGGAAACCAUCUGACUAGAGUCCGGAAGAGGAGAGUGGAAUUCCUGGUGUAGCGGUGAAAUGCGCAGAUAUCAGGAAGAACACCCGUGGCUAAGGCGGCUCUCUAGUACGUGACUGACGCUGAGACGCGAAAGCGUGGGGAGCGAACAGG